rnacentral:rRNA from 1 species
UACGUAGGGCGCAAGCGUUGUCCGGAAUUAUUGGGCGUAAAGAGCUCGUAGGCGGUUUGUCGCGUCUGCUGUGAAAACCUAAGGCUCAUCCUUGGGCUUGCAGUGGGUACGGGCAGACUAGAGUGCGGUAGGGGUGACUGGAAUUCCUGGUGUAGCGGUGGAAUGCGCAGAUAUCAGGAGGAACACCGAUGGCGAAGGCAGGUCACUGGGCCGCAACUGACGCUGAGGAGCGAAAGCAUGGGGAGCGAACAGG